rnacentral:rRNA from 1 species
AUUGAACGCUGGCGGCAGGCCUAACACAUGCAAGUCGAGCGGAUGAUGGGAGCUUGCUCCUGGAUUCAGCGGCGGACGGGUGAGUAAUGCCUAGGAAUCUGCCUGGUAGUGGGGGACAACGUUUCGAAAGGAACGCUAAUACCGCAUACGUCCUACGGGAGAAAGCAGGGGACCUUCGGGCCUUGCGCUAUCAGAUGAGCCUAGGUCGGAUUAGCUUGUUGGUGAGGUAAUGGCUCACCAAGGCAACGAUCCGUAACUGGUCUGAGAGGAUGAUCAGUCACACUGGAACUGAGACACGGUCCAGACUCCUACGGGAGGCAGCAGUGGGGAAUAUUGGACAAUGGGCGAAAGCCUGAUCCAGCCAUGCCGCGUGUGUGAAGAAGGUCUUCGGAUUGCAAAGCACUUUAAGUUGGGAGGAAGGGUUGUAGAUUAAUACUCUGCAAUUUUGACGUUACCGACAGAAUAAGCACCGGCUAACUCUGUGCCAGCCGCCGCGGUAAAAC